UAGGGAAUAUUGGACAAUGGGGGCAACCCUGAUCCAGCCAUGCCGCGUGAGUGAAGAAGGCCCUCGGGUUGUAAAGCUCUUUUGUCCGGAAAGAAAAGCUUCGGGUUAAUACCCCGGGGUUCUGACGGUACCGGAAGAAUAAGCACCGGCUAACUUCGUGCCAGCAGCCGCGGUAAUACGAAGGGUGCAAGCGUUACUCGGAAUUACUGGGCGUAAAGCGUGCGUAGGUGGUUGUUUAAGUCUGAUGUGAAAGCCCUGGGCUCAACCUGGGAAUGGCAUCGGAAACUGGGCAGCUAGAGUGCGGUAGAGGGUAGUAGAAUUCCCGGUGUGGCAGUGAAAUGCGUAGAGAUCGGGAGGAACAUCUGUGGCGAAGGCGACUGCCUGGACCAGCACUGACACUGAGGCACGAAAGCGUGGGGAGCAAACA
rnacentral:rRNA from 1 species